rnacentral:rRNA from 1 species
AACGAACGCUGGCGGCAUGCCUAACACAUGCAAGUCGAACGAGACCUUCGGGUCUAGUGGCGCACGGGUGCGUAACGCGUGGGAACCUGCCCUUAGGUUCGGAAUAACUCCCCGAAAGGGGUGCUAAUACCGGAUAAUGUCUUCGGACCAAAGAUUUAUCGCCUUUGGAUGGGCCCGCGUUGGAUUAGCUAGUUGGUAGGGUAAAAGCCUACCAAGGCGACGAUCCAUAGCUGGUCUGAGAGGAUGAUCAGCCACACUGGGACUGAGACACGGCCCAGACUCCUACGGGAGGCAGCAGUGGGGAAUAUUGGACAAUGGGCGAAAGCCUGAUCCAGCAAUGCCGCGUGAGUGAUGAAGGCCUUAGGGUUGUAAAGCUCUUUUACCCGGGAUGAUAAUGACAGUACCGGGAGAAUAAGCGCCGGCUAACUCUGUG